rnacentral:rRNA from 1 species
GAUGAACGCUGGCGGCGUGCCUAAUACAUGCAAGUCGAACGGGGAGUAGCAAUACUCUUCGUGGCGAACGGGUGAGUAACGCGUUGGUACCUGCCCCGAAGCGGGGGAUAACGGACCGAAAGGUCCGCUAAUACCCCAUGUGCUCGGUACGAGUAAAGGUGAAAACCACUUUGGGAGGGGCCUGCGUCCCAUCAGCUAGUUGGUAAGGUAACGGCUUACCAAGGCGAUGACGGGUAGGGGACCUGAGAGGGUGGCCCCCCACAAUGGAACUGAAACACGGUCCAUACACCUACGGGUGGCAGCAGUAGGGAAUAUUGGUAAUGGGCGCAAGCCUGAACCAGCAACGCCGCGUGUGCGAUGACGGCCUUCGGGUUGUAAAGCACUUUUGACUGGGACGAGGAAGGACGGUACCGGUCGAAUCAGCCUCGGCUAACUACGUG